rnacentral:rRNA from 1 species
GAUGAACGCUGGCGGCGUGCUUAACACAUGCAAGUCGAACGGAAAGGCCCAAGCUUGCUUGGGUACUCGAGUGGCGAACGGGUGAGUAACACGUGGGUGAUCUGCCCUGCACUUCGGGAUAAGCCUGGGAAACUGGGUCUAAUACCGGAUAGGACGAUGUUUUGGAUGCUGUUGUGGAAAGUUUUUUCGGUGUGGGAUGAGCUCGCGGCCUAUCUGCUUGUUGGUGGGGUGUUGGCCUACCAAGGCGUCGACGGGUAGACGGGCUGAGAGGGUGUACGGGGACAUUGGGACUGUGAGACGGCCCAGACUCCUACGGGAGGCAGCAGUGUGGAAUAUUGCACAAUGUGCGCAAGCCUGAUGCGGCGACGCCGCGUGGGGGAUGACGGCCUUCGGGUUGUAAACUCCUUUCGCUAGGGACGAAGCGUGUUUGUGACGGUACCUGGAGAAGAAGCACCGGCUAACUACGUG